GAAGGCAGUGGACCUCGUUAGCUACACUCCACUAAAGCGUUUUACGUUUGACAGAAUGGACUUCCGCGCGGCUGUGCCAAACACGGACCCGUGACAAGUUGGAGUGGAUUGCUCCGUGAUAUCAUUCUACUCUGAGACGGCUCCUGACCUAAGCAUCUCCAAAUGUCAAGUGACAAUGGUUAAGCCAACGCUGGACAAGUGCUCAUCCCCAGCAGAUUACAUGGACACCACACGGCCCUGUUCUGCUGAAAGGUGACCUUCAGACAUACUCCCCGCAACAUUUGCUUUUCGCUUGAGAGGUCACCACAGCGAAACAUCAGCCCCUAAUCUUGCAGUAAUUUCAUUCAGCAUAUUUUGUUGCGUCAGAUGCCCUCCCAGAUCCCACCCUCUUCGUUUAUGUGAGCUUCAGA
ensembl:lncRNA